rnacentral:rRNA from 1 species
UACAGAGGUCUCAAGCGUUGUUCGGAUUCAUUGGGCGUAAAGGGCUCGUAGGCGGUCCAUCGCGUCGGGAGUGAAAAGCUGGGGCUUAACCCCAGUCCUGCUUCCGAUACGGGUGGACUAGAGGUAGGUAGGGGAGAACGGAAUUCCUGGUGUAGCGGUGAAAUGCGCAGAUAUCAGGAGGAACACCGGUGGCGAAGGCGGCAUCCUGGACCAACACUGACGCUGAGUGAGCGAAAGCCAGGGGAGCAAACGGG